rnacentral:rRNA from 1 species
UACGAAGGGUGCAAGCGUUACUCGGAAUUACUGGGCGUAAAGCGUGCGUAGGUGGUUCGUUAAGUCUGUCGUGAAAGCCCCGGGCUCAACCUCGAGACGUCGGUGGAAACCGUUUGGCUAGAGUCCGGAAGAGGAGAGUGGAAUUCCCGGUGUAGCGGUGAAAUGCGCAGAUAUCGGGAAGAACACCCGUGGCGAAGGCGGCUCUCUGGGACGGUACUGACGCUGAGACGCGAAAGCGUGGGGAGCGAACAGG